AUUGAACGCUGGCGGCAGGCCUAACACAUGCAAGUCGAGCGAGCGGCGGACGGGUGAGUAAUGUCUGGGAAACUGCCUGAUGGAGGGGGAUAACGACUGGAAACGGUAGAUAAUAACGCAUCAAAUAAGAUGUGCGCAGAUGGGAUUAGCUAGUAGGUGGGGUAACGGCUCACCUAGGCGACGAACCCCAGCUGGUCUGAGAGGAUGACAAGCCACACUGGAACUGAGACACGGUCCAGACUCCUACGGGAGGCAGCAGUGGGGAAUAUUGCACAAUGGUCGCAAGCCUGAUGCAGCCAUGCCGCGUGUGUGAAGAAGGCCUUCGGGUUGUAAAGCACUUUCAGCGGGGAGGCGUUACCCGCAGAAGAAGCACCGGCUAACUCCGUGCCAGCAGCCGCGGUAAUAC
rnacentral:rRNA from 1 species